GACGAACGCUGGCGGCGGGCUUAACACAUGCAAGUCGAACGGAAAGGCCCUGCUUUUGUGGGGUGCUCGAGUGGCGAACGGGUGAGUAACACGUGAGUAACCUGCCCUUGACUUUGGGAUAACUUCAGGAAACUGGGGCUAAUACAGGAUAGGAGCUCCUGCUGCAGGGUGGGGGUGGGAAAGUUUCGGCGGGUGGGGAUGGACUCGCGGCUUAUCAGCUUGUUGGUGGGGUAGUGGCUUACCAAGGCUUUGACGGGUAGCCGGCCUGGGAGGGUGGCCGGCCACAUUGGGCCUGAGAUACGGACCAGUGUCCUACGGUGGGCAGUGGUGGGGAAUAUUGCCCAGUGGGCGGACGCCUGAUGCGGCAACGCCGCGUGCGGGAUGCCGGCCUUCGGGUUGUGAACCGCUUUCGCCUGUGACGACGCGUGAGUGACGGUACUGGGUAAAGAAGCACCGGCUAACUACGUG
rnacentral:rRNA from 1 species